rnacentral:tRNA from 1 species
GCCCUUAUAGCACAGUGGUAGUGCGUUGCACUUGUAUGCUCAGGGUUACACUCUCAGCAAGAGAUGCAAAGGUCACUGGUUCAAUCCCAGUUGGGGGCA